AUGGAAACAAAACAAUACAAAGAAAAAAUCAGACAACUUCUAGAUCCCACAAUUUACAAGAAACUGAAACAAGACCCCACUAACAAAAUCACCAGAAAAACGAACACUCUAAUCAAGAACUCCUCCAUUAACUUUGACAUACGCCAACAGCUGUGCAAAUCAGAAGCCCUCCCACCCAGGCUUUACGGACUCCCCAAAAUCCACAAGGACUCCAUCCCACUCAGACCCAUUGUAAGUGCCAUUGGAUCGCCGACUUACAACCUGGCAAAAUUUCUGGCUACACAGCUACAAACCCACAUUGGGCUCACUGCACAUUAUAUCAAGGACUCUACACACUUUAUAGAAAAGAUCAGCAACCUCAAUCUAAGCACCAAGGACAUCCUGAUCAGCUUUGAUGUGGUGUCCCUUUUUACCAAAGUCCCAGUAGCUGACACCCUCACACUAAUCAAACAAAACUUCCCAGAAGACAUCACAGCCCUGUUUCACCAUUGCCUCACCACUAGCUACUUUCAGUGGGACACUGGAUUCUAUGAACAGAAGGAUGGAGUGGCCAUGGGGAGCCCUCUCAGCCCAGUAGUAGCAAAUUUCUAUAUGGAAUACUUUGAAAAACAGGCCCUAGAAACAGCACCAAAAAAGCCAACUGUUUGGUUCAGAUACGUAGAUGACACCUUCACAAUUUGGAGCCAUGGAGAGGAAGAACUCAGCAAGUUCCUGGACCAUCUUAACAGCAUCCACCCAAACAUCCAAUUCACCAUGGAAAAAGAAAAGGAAGGAAAACUGCCAUUUCUAGAUGUUCUGGUCAUCCGCAAACCCAAUCAACAAUUGGGCCACACAGUUUACAGAAAACCUACACACACAGAUAGAUACCUUCAUAAAAACUCCAAUCAUCACCCAAGUCAAAAAAGGAGCACAAUCAAAGCCCUGACAGACCGUGCACAAAGAAUCUGCGAACCUCACCUCCUCCAAGGUGAACUCAACCACCUAAACUGGGCUCUACAGGCCAAUGGAUACUCCACCACAGACAUCAGAAGAGCUGCAAGGCCAAGAACAAGCCAUGAGAGUCAAGACAAAGAUCCACCCAGAGGAAAGGUGUCCUUACCAUACAUCAAGGGAACUACUGACCGCAUAGGGAAGCUGAUGAAGAAGCACAACCUACAAACUAUCUACAAACCCACGAAGAAAAUCCAACAAAUGCUACGGUCAGCGAAGGACAAGAGGGAUCCUCUCUCUUCUGCAGGAGUCUACCGGAUACCAUGCAGCUGUGGACAAGUCUACAUAGGGACCACCAAACGCAGCGCCCAAACAAGAGUCAAAGAACAUGAAAGGCACUGCAGACUAAUUCAACCAGAGAAAUCAGCCAUAGCAGAGCAUUUGAUGAACCAGCCUGGACACAGAAUACUAUUUGAGAACACAAAAAUGCUGGACCAUUCUAACAACUAUCAUGUCAGACUACACAGAGAAGCCAUUGAAAUCCACAAGCAUGUGGACAACUUCAACAGAAAGGAAGAAACCAUGAAAAUGAACAAAAUCUGGCUACCAGUAUUACAAAACUCAAGAAUCAGAACAGUAAAUAAAAAGCAAUACUCUGAAAACAGAGGACUUCCAGACAUGAAUCAACCUAGGGCAGUUAACGACUCUAAACAAAGGAUGCCCCAGAGGCAGGAAGAAGACAGCAGAUAA
rnacentral:lncRNA from 1 species